GAGCUCAGUUGGUAGAGCAUGAAAUUUUUAAUCUCAGGGUCAUGGGUUCAAGCCCUAGGUUGGGCA